GGUUUGAUCAUGGCUCAGAUUGAACGCUGGCGGGAUGCUUUUACACAUGCAAGUCGAACGGCAGCACGGACUUCGGUCUGGUGGCGAGUGGCGAACGGGUGAGUAAUGUAUCGGAACGUGCCUAGUAGCGGGGGAUAACUACGCGAAAGCGUAGCUAAUACCGCAUACGCCCUUCGAAGGAAAGCGGGGGACCUUCGGGCCUCUCGCACUAUUAGAGCGGCCGAUAUCGGAUUAGCUAGUUGGUGGGAGUAACGGCUCACCAAGGCGACGAUCCAUGUGGUUUGAGAGGACGACCAGCCACACUGGGACUGAGACACGGCCCAGACUCCUGCAGGAGGCAGCAGUGGGGAAUUUUGGACAAUGGGGAAACCUGAUCCAGCCACCCCGCGUGUGCGAUGAAGGCCUUCGGGUUGUAAAGCACUUUUGGCAGGAAAGAAACGGCACGGGAUAAUACCCCGUGCAACUGACGUACCAGCAGAAUGACACCAGCUAACUACGUGCCAACAGCCGCGGUAAUACGUAAGUGCAAGCGUUAAUCGGAAUUACUGGGCGUAAAGCGUGCGCAGGCGGUUCGGAAAGAAAGAUGUAGAAAUCCCAGAGCUUAACUUUGGAACUGCAUUUUUAACUACCGAGCUAGAGUGUGUCAGAGGAGGUGGAAUUCCGCGUGUAGCAGUGAAAUGCGUAGAUAUGCGGAGGAACACCGUGGCGAAGGCAGCCUCGCAAAUAACACUGACGCUCAUGCACGAAAGCGUGGGAGCAAACGGGAUUAGAUACCCUGGUAGUCCACGCCUAAACGAUGUAGCUGUUGGGGCCUUCGGGCCUUGGUAGCGCAGCUAACGCGUGAGGAUACCGACCGCCUGGGGAAAUUACGGUCGCAAGAUUAAAACUCAAAGGAAUUGACAGGGACCCACACAAGCGGUGGAUGAUGUGGAUUAAUUCGAUGCAACGCGAAAAACCUUACCUACCCUUGACAUGUCUGGAAUCCCGAAGAGAUUUGGGAGUGCUCGCAAGAGAACCGGAACACAGGUGCUGCAUGGCUGUCGUCAGCUCGUGUCGUGAGAUGUUGGGUUAAGUCCCGCAACAGGCGCAACCCUUGUCAUUAGUUGCUACGAAAGGGCACUCUAAUGAGACUGCCGGUGACAAACCGGAGGAAGGUGGGGAUGACGUCAAGUCCUCAUGGCCCUUAUGGGUAGGGCUUCACACGUCAUACAAUGGUCGGGACAGAGGUCGCCAACCCGCGAGGGGAACAAUCCCGAAACCCGAUCGUAGUCCGGAUCGCAGUCUGCAACUCGACUGCGUGAAGUCGGAAUCGCUAGUAAUCAUAGCGGAUCAGCAUGUCGCGGUGAAUACGUUCCCGGGUCUUGUACACACCGCCCGUCACACCAUGGGAGUGGGUUUUACCAGAAGUAGUUAGCCUAACCGUAAGGAGGGCGAUUACCACGGUAGGAUUCAUGACUGGGGUGAAGUCGUAACAAGGUAA
rnacentral:rRNA from 1 species